rnacentral:rRNA from 1 species
CAAUAGCGUAUAUUAAAGUUGUUGCAGUUAAAAAGCUCGUAGUUGGAUUUCUGGUGGGAGCGAUCGGUCUGGCGCUUAGCGCGAGUACUUGCAUCGUCUCCGGCCAUCCUUGGGGAGAGUCUGUCUGGCAUUAGGUUGUCGGGCAGAGGAUCCUCAUCGUUUACUGUGAAAAAAUUAGAGUGUUCAAAGCAGGCUUAUGCCGUUGAAUAUAUUAGCAUGGAAUAAUAAGAUAGGACUUUGGUACUAUUUUGUUGGUUUGCGCACCAAAGUAAUGAUUAAUAGGGACAGUUGGGGGUAUUCGUAUUCCGUUGUCAGAGGAGAAAUUCUUGGAUUUACGGAAGACGAACUACUGCGAAAGCAUUUACCAAGGAUGUUUUCAUUAA